AUUGAACGCUGGCGGCAUGCUUUACACAUGCAAGUCGGACGAGUGGCGAACGGGUGAGUAACGCCUCGGAACGUACCGUGUAAUGGGGGAUAACUGUCCGAAAGGACAGCUAAUACCGCAUACUAUUCGAGCGGCCGAUGUCUGAUUCGCUGGUUGGCGGGGUAAAGGCCCACCAAGGCGACGAUCCGUAGCGGGUCUGAGAGGAUGAACCGCCACACUGGGACUGGGACACGGCCCAGACGCCGACGGGAGGCAGCAGUGGGGAAUUUUGGACAAUGGGCGCAAGCCUGAUCCAGCCAUGCCGCGUGUCGGAAGAAGGCCGUAGGGUUGUAAAGGACUUUUGUCAGGGAAGCGGUACCUGAAGAAUAAGCACCGGCUAACUACGUGCCAGCAGCCGCGGUAAUAC
rnacentral:rRNA from 1 species